AUUGAACGCUGGCGGCAGGCCUAACACAUGCAAGUCGAACGAGUGGCGGACGGGUGAGUAAUGUCUGGGAAACUGCCUGAUGGAGGGGGAUAACUACUGGAAACGGUAGCUAAUACCGCAUACCAUCAGAUGUGCCCAGAUGGGAUUAGCUAGUUGGUGGGGUAACGGCGCACCAAGGCGACGAUCCCUAGCUGGUCUGAGAGGAUGACCUGCCACCCGUGAACUGCAACACGGGCCAGACUCCUACGGGAGGACGCCUUGGGGAAUAUUGCACAAUGGGCGCAGUCCUGAUGCAGCCAUGCCGCGUGUAUGAAGAAGGCCUUCGGGUUGUAAAGUACUUUCAGCGGGGAGGCGUUACCCGCAGAAGAAGCACCGGCUAACUCCGUGCCAGCAGCCGCGGUAAUUC
rnacentral:rRNA from 1 species